AUUGAACGCUGGCGGCAUGCCUUACACAUGCAAGUCGAACGGUAACAGGUCUUCGGAUGCUGACGAGUGGCGAACGGGUGAGUAAUACAUCGGAACGUGCCCGAUCGUGGGGGACAACGAAGCGAAAGCUUUGCUAAUACCGCAUAAGAUCUACGGAUGAAAGCAGGGGACCGCAAGGCCUUGCGCGAACGGAGCGGCCGAUGGCAGAUUAGGUAGUUGGUGGGAUAAAAGCUUACCAAGCCGACGAUCUGUAGCUGGUCUGAGAGGACGACCAGCCACACUGGGACUGAGACACGGCCCAGACUCCUACGGGAGGAAGCAGUGGGGAAUUUUGGACAAUGGGCGAAAGCCUGAUCCAGCCAUGCCGCGUGCAGGAUGAAGGCCUUCGGGUUGUAAACUGCUUUUGUACGGAACGAAAAGACUCUGGUUAAUACCUGGGGUCCAUGACGGUACCUGAAGAAUAAGCACCGGCUAACUACGUGCCAGCCGCCGCCGUAACAC
rnacentral:rRNA from 1 species